AAGAGAAUUAAUUUGCCAUUUCUAAUUCAAAAUCCCUCUUUCUGUUUACAAUGAACUGUAGGGAUUUGGUGGUGGAUACAAGGCAUUCAAGGACUCAGGAGAAGCAGGAGUGAUGCUUAGCAAGUGCUGCUGCUGGUUCCAUGGAUCACACACGGAGAGCCUGAAGAAAGAGCUUCCGCUGCUCUCUUCUGAGGUCCUCAAUUCAUUCAAGUUGCUGGGCCCGGUGGUGAAGACGACUAAGGUGAAGCUGAGUGAAGGUGGAGCGAAUGUCUUCAGGUGGUGAAGAUUAUAGGCUAAUCGUCACCUCUACAUGUGGAAGGAAGAGAUUGUUUGGCAUGGCACUGAUCACUAUGUGUAUUAACGGGGAAGUUUAUCCCCAGGAGAAAAGAGAAAACCAGCUGUGUGAAUGGAACUUGGAGAAAGGUAAUACCUCCUUGUAAACAACAAUAAGAUCCAUGAAAUCUCUAUAGUCUUCCUGGAAAAGCAGUUGCCAAGAUUUCUGUAGACUUGGUCUUCCUUUUCACUCCUGGAAAUAAUCCAUUUAGGGCAGAGUUGAAACACAUAAACAGAGUAGCACUUUCUCUUCUGCCUCUCUUCUGCCUAAGCAGUGAAUAAUCAAAGAUGCUUUGGAUUCUGAAUUUAG
ensembl:lincRNA